rnacentral:rRNA from 1 species
UACGUAGGGGGCAAGCGUUGUUCGGAUUUACUGGGCGUAAAGGGCGCGUAGGCGGCGCAACAAGUCACUUGUGAAAUCUCCGGGCUUAACCCGGAGCGGCCAAGUGAUACUGUCGUGCUAGAGUGCGGAAGGGGCUACUGGAAUUCUCGGUGUAGCGGUGAAAUGCGUAGAUAUCGAGAGGAACACCUGCGGCGAAGGCGGGUAGCUGGGCCGACACUGACGCUGAUGCGCGAAAGCCAGGGGAGCGAACGGG